CACGUAGUUGGCCGGUGCCUCUUCUGUACCUACCGUCACUUGCGCUUCGUCGGUACUGAAAGAGGUUUACAACCCGAAGGCCGUCAUCCCUCACGCGGCGUUGCUGGAUCAGGCUUCCGCCCAUUGUCCAAUAUUCCCCACUGCUGCCUCCCGUAGGAGUCUGGGCCGUGUCUCAGUCCCAGUGUGACCGGUCACCCUCUCAGGCCGGCUACCCGUCGAAGCCAUGGUGAGCCAUUACCCUCACCAUCAAGCUGAUAGGCCGCGAGCACAUCCCUGGCCGAAAAACUUUCCACCACCAAACAUGCGUAAAGUGGUCAUAUCCGGUAUUAAUCACCGUUUCCGGUGGCUAUCCCAAAGCCAGGGGCAGAUUACUCACGUGUUACUCACCCGUUCGCCGCUCGAGUACCCCGAAGGGCCUUUCCGCUCGACUUGCAUGUGUUAAGCACGCCGCCAGCGUUCGUCCUGUAGCCGAGGAUCGAAACCUCU
rnacentral:rRNA from 1 species